AGGCAGCAGAUGGAACCUAACUUAAUUGCGUGUGUGUGUUAUAGGUGGAGGUUGAAGCAGACCUCGGGCUUGUUUGCAAAUCCUAAGUUUAAACCGCUCCCUGGCUUGCUGCUGGUACCAUACUGUGUUCCAUCCCUAUCUACAAUACCUUGACUCGCUCUGUUCAACUCAAGCUUACUUGCUUGGGUCAGCACAUACAUCCUCAACCUCAACAGUAUGUCAUAAUGCAUAUUUUGGCAUCAAUCAAACAUUUCUAAUUACGGUCUUCGAUCAACUAUGAGCAGCUGGGAAAGUCUGUGAUCUUCCCUUGUGUGCUCAUCUAACCAGCUGCAGCAGUUCCUCCUGUCUCAGUGCCAAAUUAAAGCAUUUUACGAGGCAGUGAGAACAUGAAACAACUAUACUUGAUAAAAUGGAAUCAACAAUCAAUCAACAUCCUACAAUGUGUAUGCCCACUCUAACAUGUUUGUUAGUUAUGCAGGGAGUGUGGCUGCUGCCCGGGAGCUGACAGGCAAUAAAGUACUAUGGCACCCCAGGACCCAGAGCGUUUCCUCCGCCCAUCUGAGCGAUACCCGACCAGCCAUCAGGGAAUGGGUGAUAAAUUAAGUUUAGAUCUUAGAACGAGCUCAUCUGGUGGUUGUGUGUCUGUGCCAUCGACCCCUGUGUCCCCCAUCUGGUUGCUACACACAAUGAGCCAGCAGUGACAGCUGUUCAAUCAAAUCAUCAUAGGAGGCCAAACUCGCUCCACAAGGUUUGUUCAUUUGAGUCCCACAUAAAAUAUGCAUUAUUUAAUAUUAUACUCUUGAAUUUCAUCUCAAAUAAUUAGUUCAUUACAUUGCAUCAGCUUGAUAAAUGUCACACUACAGUAAGUUUAAGCAAAGGAGUAACUUAUAUCAGCAUGAACCUCAGCUCAUACUGUACAUAAAAAUCCAAAAUGUAAUCUAUGACUUCCGUAUAAAACAUAAAACCUCUUGAGACAAACGUGAAAUAUUUACGCACCCUCAUCAGUCAAUGUUUGGGUGGAGGCAUCAAACAGCACUGCACAGAUUUUACAAAAUGACUGCUAACCUCGCAUGAUCGAAAAUAUAUAAUCUGGGGAAACUACUCAUUACUAUCAUUAAUUAUUGUAAUGAGGGAUACUGGUAUACACUAGAUGCCCCUAUUCAGCUGUGAUAGACUUCAUCACCUUUGUGAUCCUCACAGAGGAUAAGCAGUACAGAUAAUGGCUGAUUGUCCAUUACCCAUCCAUUAAUUUAACUCAACCCAAAAGAAGGAAAUCUUACUAUAAAAAACAGCCCAUCAAACAAAUCUGUUUUUAAACAUAAAUGGAGAAACCAUUGAAAGAGUCUGCUCUACAAAAUUCCUGGGGAUCCAUAUUGAUGAGUACCUUAAUUUAAAAAAAACACAUCGAUGAGCUCACAAAUAAACUGUCGAAAUAUGCUUCUCUGUUUUUUAAAAUGCGAUAUUAUAUCCCACUAGCUGCACUUCUCACCCUGUAUAAAUCUUUAUACGAACCACAUUUACAAUAUUGUAAUAUCAUAUGGUGCAUCACAUUUCCAACCUAUCUAAAAAAGCUUGAAACACUACAGAAAAAAGUCAUACGUGCCAUAACAUGGUCCGGGUUCAAUGCUCCAACUAAAUUAAUAUUUCACCAUCACCACCUUCUGAGGCUAAAAGAACACAACUACUUUCAAAAUGCUUGCAUAAUGUAUCAGGUCAUCCAUAAACUAAAGCAUUAAUUAAGUGAUCUCAUCCCAAUCUAUACUCCUCAGCACACAUAUACUACCAGAACAAAAAAUCACAUCACAGAGAAAAAUAGAAGGCUACAGUCUAUUAGCUUUGGCAUUAUGUGCAGAGGACCACAAAUCUGGAAUGAACUGGACGAAACACUUAAAAUGUCACACUUUUUAAGAAAAAACUGAAAACUCACCUCUUUGCAAUGUAUGCUUAAUAUGCUAUCUUUGAAUAACAUUACUAAGGUAUCACAUGUCAAAUGCGAUGUAAUCAGAAUGUUGAAAUUUUCCAUAGCUAAUUGUAUGUAUGUGUAUGGAUGUGUGUAUGUGUGUUCUGUUUGACUGAGCCCUUACUAAAAGCUUUAAAUAGCUUAUUCGGAGUGUCCCUUUCAUGCAUCUUGUCAGAUUAACUGCUUGUAUAUAUGACCAUGUUCUUGUGUGUAUCAUGAUACGAUGUGUUAAUAAACUGAAACUGAAAUUAAACAACAAUAUUCUGCAAUUUACCAUCCACCAUUUAAAGUUGUGUAGUCCACGGGAAGUUUUCAUAGCAUGUGAGGAAUGCCAGUGUUCAAAGAUAGAACUCAGGAAAGGGGAACAACAGGCGGUUUAAAGGAAUUAAAUAUACCAUGAAACACAAAAGGCAUUGACUUUACUCUCCGCUCAAAGGUAUAUUCAGAACCGUUAUCAAACUUCAAAUGCCAAUUAUGUUGAAGAUGUUUGUGUCGUCUCCCUCGGUUGUUGAAGCAGCACAUUUUUAUUCCCUCUUUAUCCUUGCUUUUGUGUUUCAUGUGCAUUGACUAAAGGACACAUACUUUAUGACUUUGGUUCAGUCCAUACAUUUUUAUGUUCACUGGGCAAGGCAAGGCAAAUUUAUUUAUAUAGCACAAUUCAACACAUGGUGGUUCAAAAUGCUUUAGAUCACAUGGAAAUCCGCCCCCCCAAAAAGAUAUAUAAAAGUCACAUUAUAGUCACAGUCACAUGAUUAAAUUAUCAGGUAACACAUUAAAAUCAGGGACCCUUAACUAGCAUCAUUUUAAGUAACAUUAUAAUAAUUCAUAUAAUCCCUUAUCUAACAUUGAUUAAUAAUAAAAUAAUAAUUAACA